rnacentral:sRNA from 1 species
AAGUGACCGAAUCUCAAGCGCCGGAAGAAGGGUGAAAAACGGCCGCGUAAGACCCGCAGUAGUCGGAGUCAACAACGCCCCCGCGAGUCACGCCGGGCCUGCCCAUGUGC